CCUACGGGGGGCUGCAGUGGGGAAUAUUGGACAAUGGGGGGAACCCUGAUCCAGCCAUGCCGCGUGUGGGAAGAAGGCCCUCGGGUUGUAAAGCACUUUCAGUGAGGAAGAACGCCUGGUGGUUAAUACCCAACAGGAAAGACAUCACUCACAGAAGAAGCACCGGCUAACUCCGUGCCAGCAGCCGCGGUAAUACGGAGGGUGCGAGCGUUAAUCGGAAUUACUGGGCGUAAAGCGCGCGUAGGUGGCUUGGUAAGCCGGUUGUGAAAGCCCCGGGCUCAACCUGGGAACGGCAUCCGGAACUGUCAAGCUAGAGUGCAGGAGAGGAAGGUAGAAUUCCCGGUGUAGCGGUGAAAUGCGUAGAUAUCGGGAGGAAUACCAGUGGCGAAGGCGGCCUUCUGGACUGAAACUGACACUGAGGUGCGAAAGCGUGGGUAGCAAACAGGAUUAGAUACCCGUGUAGUC
rnacentral:rRNA from 1 species